CAGCAGCCACGGGAAUACGGAGGGUGCAAGCGUUAAUCGGAAUUACUGGGCGUAAAGCGCACGCAGGCGGUUUGUUAAGUCAGAUGUGAAAUCCCCGAGCUUAACUUGGGAACUGCAUUUGAAACUGGACGGCUAGAGUGUGUCAGAAGAUGGUGGAAUUCCCGGUGUAGCGGUGAAAUGCGUAGAGAUCGGAAGGAACAUCUGUGGCGAAGGCGACUAUCUGGGCCAAUACUGACGCUCAUGCACGAAAGCGUGGGGAGCAAACAGGAUUAGAUACCCCAGUAGUCCCUGUCUCUUAUAC
rnacentral:rRNA from 1 species